CAGCAGCCGCGGUAAUACGGAGGGUGCAAGCGUUGUCCGGAUUUAUUGGGUUUAAAGGGUGCGUAGGCGGCUAUUUAAGUCAGCGGUGAAAGACUCCGGCUCAACCGGAGCAGUGCCAUUGAUACUGGAUAGCUUGAGUGUUGGAGGGGUACAUGGAAUUGAUGGUGUAGCGGUGAAAUGCAUAGAUACCAUCAGGAACACCGAUAGCGAAGGCAUUGUACUGGCCAACAACUGACGCUGAGGCACGAAAGCAUGGGGAGCGAACAGGAUUAGAUACCCCUGUAGUCCCUGUCUCUUAUAC
rnacentral:rRNA from 1 species